ACGCAGAUAAGCACCGGCUAACUCUGUGCCAGCAGCCGCGGUAAUACAGAGGGUGCGAGCGUUAAUCGGAUUUACUGGGCGUAAAGCGUGCGUAGGCGGCUGAUUAAGUCGGAUGUGAAAUCCCUGAGCUUAACUUAGGAAUUGCAUUCGAUACUGGUCAGCUAGAGUAUGGGAGAGGAUGGUAGAAUUCCAGGUGUAGCGGUGAAAUGCGUAGAGAUCUGGAGGAAUACCGAUGGCGAAGGCAGCCAUCUGGCCUAAUACUGACGCUGAGGUACGAAAGCAUGGGGAGCAAACAGGAUUAGAUACCCUGGUAGUCCAUGCCGUAAACGAUGUCUACUAGCCGUUGGGGCCUUUGAGGCUUUAGUGGCGC
rnacentral:rRNA from 1 species